CCUACGGGAGACUGCAGUGAGGAAUAUUGGUCAAUGGACGCAAGUCUGAACCAGCCAUGCCGCGUGCAGGAAGACGGCUCUAUGAGUUGUAAACUGCUUUUGUACGAGGGUUAACGCAGAUACGUGUAUCUGUCUGAAAGUAUCGUACGAAUAAGGAUCGGUUAACUCCGUGCCAGCAGCCGCGGUAAUACGGAGGAUUCAAGCGUUAUCCGGAUUUAUUGGGUUUAAAGGGUGCGUAGGCGGUCGGAUAAGUUAGAGGUGAAAUCCCGAGGUUCAACUUCGGAAGUGCAUCUGAUACUGUUAUGCUAGAGAAUAGUAGCGGUAGGUGGAAUGUAUGGUGUAGCGGUGAAAUGCGUAGAGAUCA
rnacentral:rRNA from 1 species